rnacentral:rRNA from 1 species
GCAGUCGUACGCUUCUUUUUCACCGGAGCUUGCUCCACCGGAAAAAGAAGAGUGGCGAACGGGUGAGUAACACGUGGGUAACCUGCCCAUCAGAAGGGGAUAACACUUGGAAACAGGUGCUAAUACCGUAUAACAAUCGAAACCGCAUGGUUUUGAUUUGAAAGGCGCUUUCGGGUGUCGCUGAUGGAUGGACCCGCGGUGCAUUAGCUAGUUGGUGAGGUAACGGCUCACCAAGGCCACGAUGCAUAGCCGACCUGAGAGGGUGAUCGGCCACAUUGGGACUGAGACACGGCCCAAACUCCUACGGGAGGCAGCAGUAGGGAAUCUUCGGCAAUGGACGAAAGUCUGACCGAGCAACGCCGCGUGAGUGAAGAAGGUUUUCGGAUCGUAAAACUCUGUUGUUAGAGAAGAACAAGGAUGAGAGUAACUGUUCAUCCCUUGACGGUAUCUAACCAGAAAGCCACGGCUAACUACGUGCCAGCAGCCGCGGUAAUACGUAGGUGGCAAGCGUUGUCCGGAUUUAUUGGGCGUAAAGCGAGCGCAGGCGGUUUCUUAAGUCUGAUGUGAAAGCCCCCGGCUCAACCGGGGAGGGUCAUUGGAAACUGGGAGACUUGAGUGCAGAAGAGGAGAGUGGAAUUCCAUGUGUAGCGGUGAAAUGCGUAGAUAUAUGGAGGAACACCAGUGGCGAAGGCGGCUCUCUGGUCUGUAACUGACGCUGAGGCUCGAAAGCGUGGGGAGCAAACAGGAUUAGAUACCCUGGUAGUCCACGCCGUAAACGAUGAGUGCUAAGUGUUGGAGGGUUUCCGCCCUUCAGUGCUGCAGCUAACGCAUUAAGCACUCCGCCUGGGGAGUACGACCGCAAGGUUGAAACUCAAAGGAAUUGACGGGGGCCCGCACAAGCGGUGGAGCAUGUGGUUUAAUUCGAAGCAACGCGAAGAACCUUACCAGGUCUUGACAUCCUUUGACCACUCUAGAGAUAGAGCUUCCCCUUCGGGGGCAAAGUGACAGGUGGUGCAUGGUUGUCGUCAGCUCGUGUCGUGAGAUGUUGGGUUAAGUCCCGCAACGAGCGCAACCCUUAUUGUUAGUUGCCAUCAUUCAGUUGGGCACUCUAGCAAGACUGCCGGUGACAAACCGGAGGAAGGUGGGGAUGACGUCAAAUCAUCAUGCCCCUUAUGACCUGGGCUA